UAUUGGGCGUAAAGAGCUCGUAGGCGGUUUGUCGCGUCUGCUGUGAAAUCCCGAGGCUCAACCUCGGGCCUGCAGUGGGUACGGGCAGACUAGAGUGCGGUAGGGGAGAUUGGAAUUCCUGGUGUAGCGGUGGAAUGCGCAGAUAUCAGGAGGAACACCGAUGGCGAAGGCAGAUCUCUGGGCCGUAACUGACGCUGAGGAGCGAAAGGGUGGGGAGCAAACAGGCUUAGAUACCCUGGUAGUCCACCCCGUAAACGUUGGGAACUAGUUGUGGGGUCCAUUCCACGGAUUCCGUGACGCAGCUAACGCAUUAAGUUCCCCGCCUGGGGAGUACGGCCGCAAGGCUAAAACUCAAAGGAAUUGACGGGGACCCGCACAAGCGGCGGAGCAUGCGGAUUAAUUCGAUGCAACGCGAAGAACCUUACCAAGGCUUGACAUAUACGAGAACGGGCCAGAAAUGGUCAACUCUUUGGACACUCGUAAACAGGUGGUGCAUGGUUGUCGUCAGCUCGUGUCGUGAGAUGUUGGGUUAAGUCCCGCAACGAGCGCAACCCUCGUUCUAUGUUGCCAGCACGUAAUGGUGGGAACUCAUGGGAUACUGCCGGGGUCAACUCGGAGGAAGGUGGGGAUGACGUCAAAUCAUCAUGCCCCUUAUGUCUUGGGCUUCACG
rnacentral:rRNA from 1 species